rnacentral:rRNA from 1 species
AGAAUCAACGCUGGCGGCGUGCCUAACACAUGCAAGUCGCACGAGAAAGUGGAGCAAUCCACGAGUAAAGUGGCGCACGGGUGAGUAACACGUGAAUAAUCUACCUCCGAGUGGGGAAUAACUGAGAGAAAUCUUAGCUAAUACCGCAUAAUACCCACGGGUCAAAGCAGCAAUGCGCUUGGAGAGGAGUUCGCGGCCGAUUAGCUAGUUGGCGGGGUAAUGGCCCACCAAGGCGAUGAUCGGUAUCCGGCCUGAGAGGGCGCACGGACACACUGGAACUGAAACACGGUCCAGACUCCUACGGGAGGCAGCAGUGGGGAAUUUUGCGCAAUGGGGAAACCCUGACGCAGCAACGCCGCGUGGAGGAUGAAAUCCCUUGGGAUGUAAACUCCUUUCGAUAGGGAAGAUAAUGACGGUACCUAUAGAAGAAGCCCGGCUAACUUCGCGCCAGCAGCCGC